GUCCUCGUAGCUUAAACCAAAGCAUAGCACUGAAGAUGCUAAGACGGGAACCACCCCCAAGGAC
rnacentral:tRNA from 1 species